rnacentral:rRNA from 1 species
GCGCGAAAACUUUACAAUGCUGGCAACAGCGAUAAGGGAACCUCGAGUGCCAGGUUACAAAUCUGGCUGUCGAGAUGCCUAAAAAGCAUUUCAUAGCAAGGGCCGGGCAAGGCCGGUGCCAGCCGCCGCGGUAACACCGGCGGCUCGAGUGGUAACCGUUAUUAUUGGUCUAAAGGGUCUGUAGCCGGCCGGAUAAGUCUCUUGGGAAAUCUGGCAGCUCAACUGUCAGGCUUUCAGGAGAUACUGUCUGGCUCGAGGCCGGGAGAGGUGAGAGGUACUUCAGGGGUAGGGGCGAAAUCUUGUAAUCCUUGAAGGACCACCAGUGGCGAAGGCGUCUCACCAGAACGGACCUGACGGCAAGGGACGAAAGCUAGGGGCACGAACC